GAUGAAGAACGCAGCGAAAUGCGAUAAGUAGUGUGAAUUGCAGAAUUCAGUGAAUCAUCGAAUCUUUGAACGCACAUUGCGCCCUCUGGUAUUCCGGAGGGCAUGCCUGUUCGAGCGUCAUUAAAACUACUCAAGCUAAGGUUUUACCUUCUGCUUGGUCUUGGGUUUGAGGAUUCAAAAUCCUCUCUCCGAAAUCCAGUGGCGAAUUGUUUGAGCUGUAGACGUAGUAAAUCAUUCUACCCGUUGCAAGCGAGAAUAAUAUUCAGCCAUAACCCCCAUACUUUUCUAGUUUGACCUCGGAUCAGGUAGGGAUACCCGCUGAACUUAAGCAUAUCAAUAAGCGGAGGA
rnacentral:misc_RNA from 1 species